rnacentral:rRNA from 1 species
UACGUAGGUGGCAAGCGUUGUCCGGAUUUACUGGGCGUAAAGAGCGCGCAGGCGGUCGUGCAAGUCGCGUGUGAAAGCCCCCGGCUCAACUGGGGAGGGUCACGCGAUACUGUUCGACUUGAAGGCAGGAGAGGGAAGUGGAAUUCCCGGUGUAGUGGUGAAAUGCGUAGAUAUCGGGAGGAACACCAGUGGCGAAGGCGACUUCCUGGCCUGUUCUUGACGCUGAGGCGCGAAAGCUAGGGUAGCAAACGGGG